ACAGCAGCAGCCGCGGUAAUACGGAGGGUGCAAGCGUUAAUCGGAAUUACUGGGCGUAAAGCGCACGCAGGCGGUUUGUUAAGUCAGAUGUGAAAUCCCCGAGCUUAACUUGGGAACUGCAUUUGAAACUGGCAAGCUAGAGUCUUGUAGAGGGGGGUAGAAUUCCAGGUGUAGCGGUGAAAUGCGUAGAGAUCUGGAGGAAUACCGGUGGCGAAGGCGGCCCCCUGGACAAAGACUGACGCUCAGGUGCGAAAGCGUGAGGAGCAAACAGGAUUAGAUACCCGUGUAGUCCCUGUCUCUUAUAC
rnacentral:rRNA from 1 species